UUUUCAGCAGCCGCGGUAAUACGGAGGAUGCAAGCGUUAUCCGGAUUCAUUGGGUUUAAAGGGUGCGUAGGCGGACUAUUAAGUCAGUGGUGAAAUCCUGCAGCUUAACUGCAGAACUGCCAUUGAUACUGAUAGACUUGAGUUUGGUUAAGGUAGGCGGAAUGUGUAAUGUAGCGGUGAAAUGCUUAGAUAUUACACAGAACACCAAUUGCGUAGGCAGCUUACUGAGCCGAUACUGACGCUGAGGCACGAAAGCGUGGGGAUCGAACAGGAUUAGAAACCCCCGUAGUCC
rnacentral:rRNA from 1 species